AUGUAAAAUACUUGAAUAAGGCAGAUUCGCAAACGCUAUGUAUAGACAUACCUGCUCUUUGGCCUUGGCCGCAUGUAAACAGCGUCGAUAAAAGUGAAUGACUUGUCUUUGAAGUCCCGAAAGAGCCAUGGUAAUUGGUAACCUUGCUAGGAUGGAACAAUAGGUUGUAGUCGCUAUGAAGGGAUUUGUAAUGAAACUACCAAUCCGAAGUAUUUUUAAGCAACUUCAAAACGGUAGAAUACGACUUUAUUCGAGGAGAUGUUUAUAAAAGAAAAAAAAAAUACGAAAGAAGUAAUGAUUACAGAAGAAAACAAUAACCUUCAAAAGGAAGCGAUCAAGUCAACCCAAGUAGAAAUGAGGUAAGAGGCGAAUGUCGAAUUUCCAAUGUCUGACCUGGUUUCGGCUGUAAAU